ACACCCGCCGCUGUCCCGACCCGACCCGCACGCGCUCCCUAAAUAGGUAAGGUGCAGUACUUCCCUGGACAAACUCUUUCACAAGGAGAUGUUAUAUAUUUGUUUAAUAGUGUUCCAAGAAUGUAGAGAACUGUACGUAGAACAAUGGUACAGGAUGAUAAGAAGUACAUGAGGAAAUUGAAGUGGGGUUACGCUGGACAUAUCAUGAGGGAGACUAAAAAACGGACCAGAGCUGUAACAGAGUGGUACCCAAGAGAAGGUGCGUGUGCCGUCCCACC